GACUAGUGUUGUGUAGUGGUUUGAACAUUGGACUACAACUCUGGAGACCAGGGUUUAAAUCCCUGCUCAGUCA